UGGCAUUAGUUCCAGUAGCUGAGUUUGUCUUACAAUUCUCUGUCAUAUAAACUUGUUUGGCCAAAUAGUGCAAAAUCACAUUAAAAUGACUCAGCAAACUGGAACACAACUGAGGGAGGACAGACCUUAUGCAACCCAGAUACAUUUAUUUGAUGAAGCAGCUUUGAAAGAACAGCAAACUGCAAACCCAAACCUCUUCCACCCAGCAUCACCAGCACUAUGAAAGGCAGGAGGAACAUCUGCUACAACCAGCUCUUCUGCAAACCAUUCUUCCCAGUUUCGUUUCUGAUGUUCUUAGCAUGCGGGGAUAAGAACUCACUGGAAGAACAGAUCUCAACUACAAAUACAAAGAGCUGACCAAAACUGCAGUUACAGUCAGCUUCCCUGAACAACCACCUCCCUCUCAUUAGAUUUGUGGUAGUAGAAAUACACAUGGAAAAUCACAAUACAGAGCCAUCUAUCUAGUCUUCGCGGGAAAAAAUGCUUGGAAGACUUCUGAUGAUUGGUCCAAGAACAACUGUCUCAACAGUGGCUCAAUGAAGACUUAUAUCAUAUGAUGUUGAUAUCAUAGACUACUAGUUGCUUCCUCUGCCUCAAAAACUACGGUUUAAAAUGGCCAGUGACACAAGAAGUCAUUGAUGAAGAUGUUGAACAGGACCAGACCCAGCAUCAACCUCUGUGGAACUCCACUUAUUACAGACCUGUGGGACAAAGACACUAUGAACAAAAGACCUUCAAAAUGAGUAAACAAGCUUGGUAGCUAUUUGCGCCAGAUGUAAAUACACACAAGGCGCCUGGCUGGUACAUGUGACCAAGUGGUUGUUAUGGGGUAUAAAAAGCACCUAAAGUAUAUAAAAGCACCUACAAUAAAUGUCUUCAUUCUGCACCAGCAAUGGAGUUUGUGGCUCGCCUGCCACUCAGGCCUCCAAUCAGACUCUGCACCACUGAUGACAGUUGACUGAGCUCUGCCAGUCAGACAGUUCUCAGUCCACCUCAUGUCAACUUAUUUAUCCUACACUUUCUAAGUUUCAUAACAAGGAUGCUGUGGGAGACUGUCAAAUGCCUUGCUGAAAUCAAGACUUCACAAUGAAGAAAACGUGUAGAAGUGAUGUGUAGGAACUGUUGAGUCACAGCCCGAACCUCCGAUUGAUCACUUGAGGCAAACUCUGGGUCAGCCCUGGGAGCACAGGUGAAGGCAAUAAAGCUGUGUGACCAGAAGGGGUGGAGCUUGGCUGCAUCUCUCCUAGACCCUGUUCAAGGGCUGACUGUGUCUAAGGAAGGGUCUCUUUCUGGAGAUUGCUCUCUUUGGAGUUUUUUUUUUUUUGCAAGCCUUGGACACAGGUGAGCAUUUUCAAUUAUCCCUUUCUGCUGUGAUAAUCUUUCUAGUUAUACUGUAUAAAUCUGUAGGUACCAGCCCAACCACACCACUCUGUAAAUUUGUUGAUUGUACUAGUGGGAAGUUAGUGGAGGGGAUAAAGUUAAGAAAGAGAUGAGAACAGUCUUGUUUUUUCAUUGCAGCUAACCCUGUUCUAGUCAAUAUGCUGGAGACGUGAUACUUACAGGAUGAAAAACUGUGGGUUUUUUUUCUUUGCCUCAUUCAGCAUUCACAGAUCUGUUCACAUUGCAAACUUUUUUUCUUUUGUCAAACAGUUUGUGUGCUUAAUAGUGAUGGACUUACAGAUGAAAGGAGUUAUCCUGAGAGUUGCGUUAUGAAAUAUAACACAAAAGAAAGAAUUAGGGUUGCUGAGGAAACUUUUGGUCUGGGAUUUAUGAGCACUUAAUCAUUUCACUUGCCAAGAUUACCAGCAGCUAUUUUCUGUUAAGUCUUAAUGAUUGUCCAUAUAAUGAUGAAUAGUAAGCCUUACUUAUAGAUGUCUUGACAUGUCCUGUGAGCUAUGAUCAUUAUGUGGAAUGAAUUUCUUGAGAGUUGUACUUGUUUGUGUGCACAUUUAUCUACAAGUUCAUAAAAGGACUUCUAUGGGUGAUAUAAGAAAUCCAAGUUUAUAAUUGGAGAGCUGGUCUACAGGAAUUGUAACUUGAAGUACUCACUCUUGCAUGCAUAGUCUGAAGUAGAGAAAGAAUUUUCAUGUAAACUGACUUAUGUUCAUAGUUGAUUAGCCGUGUUCCAAAAUAAAUAUUCAGAAAUCUCAGUGAGGUCAAACUGUACAUGGUUUUUACAGUGCUACUUAAAUUAAAGGCGAUGCAAAAAUGGGUAAAACAGAGGCAGACAAUUUUCAGUGGUAUUCAGUGGAGGGAGAAGAGGUAACUGGGCCAAAAAAGAAAACAGGAAAUUCCAAGUACUCAUAAAGAGAAGCUUUUAUUAUUAUUAGAGAAGUGGUGAGACUUUGAUUCUUGAAGAUACUCCACCUGAACAAGGCCUUGAGCAGCCUGCUGCAAUUGACUCUUAGGGGUUAGGCUAGAUGGUCCCCAGAAUCCCCCAGUAAUUCUAUGGCUGUAUGAAACUUGGAAGUGGCACUAUCCUUAUCUUCAACACUUAUUCCUAAAACUUUAAAAAAAGAAAAACAAAAACAUCUUGCUAUCACUUACGUAUUCUAAAUAGUACAUAAAAUUUUUUCUUUGAAUUUUUUUGGACACAUGCACUUACAGAAUGUGCAUUAUAAGACAGUUUGCAUUCACUGUUGUCCACGCGAGGCUUUUAAUUCAGUUUUAGUGUAUUUAGCAUAGUGACGUGUUUCAUGUGUACUUUUCUUGUAUCCAUAUCUUUGCAGGUUGUUGUAUCUGCCUUUAUACUGCAGCAGAUUUGCUUGACUAUCAGUGAAAGUGUUUUUUCUUAAUGUAACUUUACUUUUUGUUAUGCCUAUAGGAAAUCUGGUUAUUAGUUUCAGGCUUGAAUGAUGAGUAAGCUAUGGCCUGGCAGCAUGGAAUAUAGCUAUUUUAAUGUAACCAUGACUAUGCCCUAUAUUACAGGUCUCCCUGCUGGAGCGGGAGCUAGAGCAAAACUGUAAAGUUGAUUAUCUGGUUAGAAUUUGUCCUGGUAAAACUUAUGGUUUUGUUCAUUACAGAAAAGAAGAUAUCAAUCCUAAGAAUAAAACUUACGUCGGGGAAGACAGAAAGGAUAUGGUCAACUGGCUGAAUAAAUAUAUUUAAUAGAAUACCAAGUGACUAAUUUAUAACCUAAUCAUAUAAUAGAGUGUGGAGACUUUCAAUAGCACAUCUUGGAGAACUAGAAAUUAUGUUAUUUAGAAAAUAGAAAUUACAGAAAAAAGCAAACAUACUUUAGCCUUUUUUUUUUCCAGUAGAUUGUAACUCCUAUCUUGUUAUAUUAAUUUUGAAGUGGUUUUAGAUGUCACCUAGCAGUGCUGUGUCUUAAUAUGCUGUAAAAUAUUCUCCAGUACUUUGUUGUUCAGCUUAGUAAUUAAAACAAGUUAUGGUAGUGGUAAUCUGUUUUUAUGCUAUGGCCACUGUUCAUUUAAGUACCAUGUAAACCAUAGGCCCAAAAUUUAGAGACACCAAUUGAUUCUUUGGUGGCGAUCGUGUUGAGUUUCAAGGCUUCUUUGACCAGUACGUCAGUGUCAGGUAUGUAUUUAACAAGUUUAGGAAUUAAAAAGUAUAAUACAAAUUCCAAACAUCACACUGUUGUGUCUUACAAACCCUCACUGCUGCUUAAAGAAGGAAUGCUCAGUGUUUUUUUGCAUAAUGCAUCUUGUUACGUAACUUUCCCUUAAUAGAGCAAAAAUCCUUGCAUUGCAGCAGCUCAAGAUUGCAUCUCCCUCAGCCUCCAGCAGCGCCUGCUCAGGGAAUUCUCCCUCUUGCUCCAUGUCCUAACAGGCAGCAAUGUAGGGAUUUCCUGAGCUGAAUCUUGCCACUGGGCUGUUGUGUUGAACAACCACUGGUGACUUACUCUCUGUGAAUUUGCCAGUCCUGUUUUAAAUCUGCUUACAAUGUUGACCUCUAGCGCAUCCCACGAUGGGGACUUCCACAGUUUAGUUAUGCCCUAUGGGGUGAACAUGUGUGCUCAUUAGUUUGCAGUCAGCUGCCUAGGAUCUUCACCGGAUGUUGUCUCUUUUCACCUUCUCAGUACUAUUAACAUAAACUGUUGUGUGAUUUAGGGCGAAGAGAAUGUAAUUUAAAAAAGCUUUAACUUUUGUCGUGGCAAUCUCUCACAUUAAACAUAUAAUCAGAGAAAUAUACAUUGUAGCGUUUCACUUAAAAAUGAUAUCAACAAUAUUAAAUGACCAUCUCACAAUGGGUUUUUAAUUUCUUUUGCUUGCUUCAAUGAACAUUUCUCCCCUUUACUUGCUUCUGGCGGCUGUCCAUCUUUCCCAAAGGGAAGACUGUAGAGUUGGCUUUGAGUCUUCAAGGAGAGCACUAAUUUUGGCAUGCAAUUGCUUAAGUGUUGCUUUUGAUAAGAUACCAUCUGUAUGUAAUACAUUGAUAACACAUCUUUCUUCCAGGACAAGAUUGUAGAGUGGCAGUUCGUUGUGUCUUAAUUACCCCAGUAUGAAAACUGGCAAACACCAAAUUCAGUUGACUUCUUUUCACAUUAAAAGAUUAUCUGUUGUGUGAGAGGGUGAUCAGGUCAUGCUUUUAGAGAAUUGCAGCAAUUCAUAAAUAUUGACUUGUGAAGUAAAACUAAUACUGUGACUAAGCUGUAGGGGGGAGGAAAAAAAACCUUGAGAGACAGUGUUAGCUCGAAUUUGAGAGAAUAAAUGCAAGUUACUACAAGUACAGCCAAAUCUUCAUGAUAAAACUGCAGAUCACUGGAAUUCUAAGAUCCAGAAUUAAUGUGUACAUGGAGAGAUCAUGAGCUGUAAAUAAAAAAAAAAACAAAAACAAAAACUAGAAUGCAUUGUCCAGCAAGGAACUCAGAACCAGCAGGAAAUCAAAAUAAAACCCAUUAAAAUUCUAAGGUUUGGUGUUAAUAUUAAGGCAAUGGAGAAUAGUUUUACGUAUAGAGUUUCCAUAGGCACAGUGUUGCAGUUCAUGGGCUAAAAAACUCCGAUGGAGAGGAGGAUCUGUGCAACACUGCUCCUAGGGAUGAUUUCAGCUGCUUAUUUACUUCACAUUUAUUUUAUUAAUGUUUUUUGAAGA